GAUGAACGCUGGCGGCGUGCCUAAUACAUGCAAGUCGAACGCAUUGUGGUUGAAAUGAUAUGAAGAACUUGUUCAGAUUUGAUUUUCAACAUUGCAAUGAGUGGCGAACGGGUGAGUAACACGUGGGAAACCUACCUCUUAGCAGGGGAUAACAUUUGGAAACAAAUGCUAAUACCGUAUAAUAAUUAAAACCGCAUGGUUUUAGUUUAAAAGAUGGUCUUGCUAUCACUAAGAGAUGGUCCCGCGGUGUAUUAGUUAGUUGGUGAGGUAAUGGCUCACCAAGACAAUGAUACAUAGCCGAGUUGAGAGACUGACCGGCCACAAUGGGACUGAGACACGGCCCAUACUCCUACGGGAGGCAGCAGUAGGGAAUCUUCCACAAUGGACGAAAGUCUGAUGGAGCAACGCCGCGUGUGUGAUGAAGGGUUUCGGCUCGUAAAACACUGUUGUAAGAGAAGAAUGACAUUGAGAGUAACUGUUCAAUG
rnacentral:rRNA from 1 species